rnacentral:piRNA from 1 species
UGCAAGAAUGAGGCUCCUGAUCCAGU